AUUGAACGCUGGCGGCAGGCUUAACACAUGCAAGUCGAGCGAGCGGCGGACGGGUGAGUAAUGUAUGGGGACUGCCCGAUAGAGGGGGAUAACUACAGGAAACGGAGGCUAAUACCGCAUACUGUCGGAUAACCCAUAUGGUAUUAGCUAGUAGGUAAGGUAAUGGCCUACCUAGGCGACGAUCCCUAGCUGGUCUGAGAGGAUGAUCAGCCCACCUGGGACUUAGACACGGCCCGGUCUCCUAGGUAGGCAGCAGGGGAGAAUAUUGCACAAUGGGCGCAAGCCUGAUGCAGCCAUGCCGCGUAGAUGCAAAAGGCCCUAGGGUUGUAAGGUACUUUCAGUCGGGAGGCGUUACCGACAGAAGAAGCGCCGGCUAACUCCGUGCCAGCAGCCGCGGUAAUAC
rnacentral:rRNA from 1 species